rnacentral:rRNA from 1 species
GACAGAGGGUGCAAACGUUGUUCGGAAUUACUGGGCGUAAAGCGUGUGUAGGCGGCCAUAUAAGUCGGAUGUGAAAGCCCCGGGCUCAACCCGGGAAGUGCACUCGAUACUGUAUGGCUUGAGUAUCGGAGAGGUUGGUGGAAUUCUCGGUGUAGAGGUGAAAUUCGUAGAUAUCGAGAGGAACACCGGUGGCGAAGGCGGCCAACUGGACGAAUACUGACGCUGAGGCGCGAUAGCGUGGGGAUCAAACAGG